rnacentral:rRNA from 1 species
CUCUUCGGAGGGGGAUUAGCGGCGAACGGGUGAGUAACACGUGGGCAACCUGCCCCUAGCUCUGGGAUAACUCCGGGAAACCGGGGCUAAUACCGGAUACGACUUCCCGCGGCAUCUUGGGAAGUGGAAAGUUUUUCGGCUAGGGAUGGGCCCGCGGCCUAUCAGCUUGUUGGUGAGGUAACGGCCCACCAAGGCGACGACGGGUAGCCGGCCUGAGAGGGCGACCGGCCACACUGGGACUGAGACACGGCCCAG